UGGCUUCCAGAUUUGUGAGACAAUAAGC
rnacentral:piRNA from 1 species